rnacentral:lncRNA from 1 species
UUCUUCUUGUGAGAUAAUGAAAUGUCUAUGUGGUGUGAUGAAGUGAGGUGAAUGACACAGGCAUUGUGACAGAACAUAGGCUACCGUAGGCUUUCUGAGGAUGUGUCAGAAGGAAGAUCAUAUGUUUCCAGACCAUGGAUCAAUGUAGGUAACAAAUCGGGGAAAAUGAAAUUAUGAAUAACAGGGGGCUACUGUAGUCACAUUUUUAAUGUUAAAUAUUUAUUUGUCCUUUUUAAAAAUUCAUGUCAUGCUUAACACAUGUAUCUAAACCUAUUUCACACUCUAAGAUGGCCUCCAGUUAUCCUCACUUCCUGGUAUUCAUACCAUUUUGCUGUCUACUUCCACACUGAAUCAGGGUUGGUCUGCAUGACCCACAGAAUAUGGCUGAAAACAUGCUGCUGACUUCCAAAUCCAGGUCAUAGAACUCACCGAAGCUUCUGCGUUGAUCCCGUGGACUCCUUGCUCUGGAGGAAGCUGGCAGACAUGAAGUGGUGAUGUUCAAGCAGCCCAUGUCAAGACGAAGGCCUCCUGCCAACAGCCAGUAUCAGCCUGGCACUUAUGUGGGUACACCAUUUUGGAAGUCGAUCCUCCGGCCAACAUUUGACUACAACCUCACAAGAGAUCAAGAACCAGAGCAGCCCAGCCAAACUCCUCCCAAAUUUCUGAUAAUCAGAAAUGACCCCUACAGGAGGACUGAGGUGUUUGAAUGGAGAGUAGGGGAGGAGUUCUUCCUUCUUUUUCUCUUUUGA